UUUGUGAUAAAUAUUCUAUUUCUUUAGGUUUAAGAGAGAAGCCCCGGUUACUCCAAACCUGGAUUUAGAUGGAGGUGAAGCAGUUGCUCAGAAUAUGGUGAAAAAUCUGAACGCGUUAUUUCGGAAGAUCGAUAAUGGAGUUCAAAGCUACAAAGAUGCAACAAGAAGAUUGAACCUACACUUUAACCAUUUGUAGUUAUAUAAAUAUAAAUAAAUAUAUACGGAUAUAUCUCUUAAA